rnacentral:lncRNA from 1 species
UUUGACACACAGCAUGGCACGCCCAAAGACGUGCUCAAUACUCACAAAUGCUCAGCUGUGAAGUGGAGGGGAGCUUAUGUCUCUUGGGGGACCCCUGGACCAAUGAGGGGCAGGAGCUGAUCAAUAAAUGCCUUCCUUCCCUUUCUUACUCGGGAGACUUGGCUGUGACUUCUCAGGUGAUUCCAUGAGAUGUAAGUGGCCCCAGAGUGAGGGCCCAUUGGAGAAUGCAAAUGCAUCCUGGUAUUGGCUUUCUUUCCUUCCUGCUCUCUCUGUCCUCAGCCCUGCUGCCUGGAAUCACCCUUUCAAAGAAACUUACUCUCACAUAAGCCUCUAUCUCAGGCUCUACUCUGGGUAACCCAGGCUAGAAAAACAGACCAAGAGAGUAAGAAGGAGAUGGAGAUGUCUUCCUUGGAGGGCUUCUUGAAUUCAGCAAGUCGCUGCAGGAAACAGGGGCUUCUCAGAAAACAUGGUCUGCCUUGGCCCUGAAGCCCACCAGACUCUGUGGGGAGAUAAAAGGAAGGAGGUGAGGAUGGAGGGUGACGUUGACGACUCUAAUUCUUUCUGAUUUGCACUCUCCUCUCUCCUUCCACACAGGCCUAGCUCUUGGGUAAUCGGAUGGAGGAGAGGAUGGAAGCAAGUGAAACUUCCCCCUACCUUCCGGCCACAACAGCCAGAUAAUCUCUUGCUUAUGUGACAUACAGUUUGUGGUUAAUUCACUGCUGACCCCUCUUUGUCUAUGGCUCCAUCCUUUUUUCAACUCAACAGAGACUGCUGUUUUUCUCUGUUUUUAAAAACUUAAUUUAAAAAAGUUUUGUGGAGGUAAAAUCCACAUAACAUAAAAUGAACCAUGUGAAAGGACAGGUUGAGUAUUCCCUUGUUUGAAACACUUGGGACAAGAAGUGUUUCAGAUUUUGGAUGUUUUUGGAUUUUAGAACGUUUGUAUGUAUACAAUGAGAUACCUUGGGGAUGCGACCCAAGUCUAAACAUGGGAUUCAUUUAUAUUUAAUAUACACCCUAUACGCAUAGCCUAAAUGUAAUUUUACAUAAUACUUUAAACAAUUUUAUGCAGAAAAUUAAGUUCGUGGUAAGUACUUUACGUGCAGAGUUUUCCACCUCUGGUGUCAAGGUAGCACUCAAAAAGCUUCAGAUUUUGGAGCAUUUCAGAUUUUGAAUUUUUGAAUUAGGGAUGCUCACCCUGCAUAGACUUCACUUGCGUUUGGUACGUUCUCUGUGUUGCACAAUAAUCAUCUCUAUUUCAUUCCAGAACAUUUUUACCACCUCAAAAGGAAACCUGGUACCACUGAGCCAUCACUCCCCACUUCCCCCCUCCUCCGCCCCGGCCAACUACCAAAACUUUUAAUUGUAGUAUAAAAUACAUGCAGAACAAUGCACAGGUCAUAUGUGUGCAGCUCCAUGACUUUCCACAGGUGGUCACACCCGGGGUCCCCUGAGCUCAGAUCAAGAUGGAAUCUUAACAGCUCCUCCUGUGGCCCCUCUCACUUCUAACCCGACUACCAGAGAAGCCACUAUCCUAAUCAUGGAUUGUGUGUGUGUUUUUGAGCUUUCAACACAUGGGCUCCAACCUUAUCUUCUCCUUUGAAUCUGGCUUCAUAUCUUCAUCAGUAUGUUUGUAUGGUUGUGGUUUGCUUAUUCUCUUCAUAUCUUCAUCAAUAUGUAUGUAGUAGGAUUGUGUUUUGCUUAUUCUCAUUACUGUAUUGUAUUUCCUUGGGCAAAUUUACUCCAAUUCAUUUGCUGGGUGAAUAUACUUCACUUUACUUAUCC